rnacentral:lncRNA from 1 species
GAAGUAUGUAUUUAUGGGUGUUUGCCUUGAAGUUAACAUGUGGUUAUAAAUUAGGCUUGAAUGACAUUUUGGGAUUGUAGUGGAAGGUCGCAAUAUGCAUUAGCGACUUCAUAUUAAGAGUUCAGAGUAGUCAUUGAAGUGGUAAGACAUGUUAUGCUUAGAAUGUGAUCUUUAAAAGAGGUAUAGAAGGUGGCAUCAUAUGGUUUAGAAUAAUAGUGUGGUGUAGCAUGUUGUAUUUUUGUGACUUAGAGUUAGGCUUGAUCGCGGAGUACGGAUUAAGCUAUUUUAGAC